rnacentral:lncRNA from 1 species
UCUAUGGAACUUCCCAAAUAAGGACUUGAUCCUGCCCUCAUUGAAAUCAAUGUUAAAGCUCCCAUUGAGUUCAGUGGGAGAGGAUCAAGUACCAAAUCAGGAAGUUGGUAAUUGAAAAGGCGAGUGGUGAUAUGCCCGAAGAGAUAGCACCAAAGAGCUAAUUCCAAGCCCCCAAAGAGGAUGGCUCCCUUUUGACAAGAAGGACUCAGACUCUGGGAGUGACUGUGGGAGCUUUCAGCCUUUGUGUGAAAGCACCACAUUUUUGUUUUCAUCCUACAGAAGAUGACAGGAAGGAGGAGGAUGACUUAAUGAUCCAGUGAGUAUAAGCCACAUUGUUUUAAAAUAUGUUUAAAAUAUUAAACAGUUUUCCAGAGACAUCCUGACUGAAGAACAACACUUGUACAGUCAGAAUGGUUAAAUUACAAAGUGAAAACAGGUACAUCAGUAAUAAGGACUCAGUGCAUUACUGAUGGAAAGUUCCUAAUAAAAUUUUUCUCACUGUCA